rnacentral:rRNA from 1 species
UACGUAGGGGGCUAGCGUUGUCCGGAAUCAUUGGGCGUAAAGCGCGCGUAGGCGGCCCGGUAAGUCCGCUGUAAAAGUCCAGGGCUCAACCCUGGAACGCCGGUGGAUACUGUCGGGCUAGAGUCCGGAAGAGGCGAGUGGAAUUCCUGGUGUAGCGGUGAAAUGCGCAGAUAUCAGGAGGAACACCUAUUGCGAAGGCAGCUCGCUGGGACGUAACUGACGCUGAGACGCGAAAGCGUGGGGAGCAAACAGG